rnacentral:rRNA from 1 species
UACGAAGGGGGCUAGCGUUGCUCGGAAUUACUGGGCGUAAAGCGCACGUAGGCGGAUUGUUAAGUCGGGGGUGAAAGCUCCCGGCUAAACUGGGAGACGACAGGUCAGACUGCCGAACUCGAGUCCGAUAGAGGGGCGUAGAAUUCCGGGUGUAGCGGUGAAAUGUGUAGAGAUCCGGAGGAAUACCAGUGGCGAAAGCGGCGCCCUGGGUCGGUACUGACGCUGAGAUACGAAAGCGUGGGGAGCGAACGGG